rnacentral:tRNA from 1 species
GUCCCCAUAGUUCAAUGGAUAGAACAGCGGUUUCCUAAACCGUUAAUCCAAGUUCGAUUCUUGGUGGGGACG